rnacentral:rRNA from 10 species
GCUUACCACUAUGAACACGCCCGGUCUCGUCUGAUCUCGGAAGCUAAGCAUGGUUGCGCCUCGUUAGAACUUGGAUGGGAGACCGCCUGGGAAUACCAGGUGCAUUAAGUG